GACGAACGCUGGCGGCGUGCUUAAAACAUGCAAGUCGAACGGAAAGGCCCCUUUGGGGGUACUCGAGUGGCGAACGGGUGAGUAACACGUGAGUAACCUGCCCUUGACUUCGGGAUAACUUCAGGAAACUGGGGCUAAUACCGGAUAGGAAUCCUUGCUGCAUGGUGGGGGUUGGAAAGCUUCGGCGGUUUUGGAUGGACUCGCGGCUUAUCAGCUUGUUGGUGGGGUAGUGGCUUACCAAGGCUUUGACGGGUAGCCGGCCUGAGAGGGCGACCGGCCACAUUGGGACUGAGAUACGGCCCAGACUCCUACGGGAGGCAGCAGUGGGGAAUAUUGCACAAUGGGCGGAAGCCUGAUGCAGCAACGCCGCGUGCGGGAUGACGGCCUUCGGGUUGUAAACCGCUUUCAGCAGGGGCGAAGCUUGUGGUGACGGUACCUGCAGAAGAAGCACCGGCUAACUACGUG
rnacentral:rRNA from 1 species